GACGAACGCGGGCGGCGUGCUUAACACAUGCAAGUCAAGGACCGUAGCAAUACGGGACUGGCGCACGGGUGCGGAACACGUAGGUAAUCUACCCUUUAGGGGAGAACAACUCGUCGAAAGACGAGCUAAAACUCCGUAACAUGAGAGAGCGGCAUCGCUUUUUUAUCAAGCUUUCUAAGGGAUGAGCCUGCGCCUGAUUAGCUAGUUGGUAGGGUAACGGCCUACCAAGGCUACGAUCAGUAGCUGGUCUGAGAGGAUGAUCAGCCACAUUGGGACUGAGACACGGCCCAGACUCCUACGGGAGGCAGCAGUGAGGAAUAUUGCUCAAUGGACGAAAGUCUGAAGCAGCAACGCCGCGUGAGGGAUGAAGGUGCUCUGCAUCGUAAACCUCUGUAGAGGGAGACAAACUUCGAGUUACUACUCGAUUGAUGGUACCCCUAAAGUAAGGAUCGGCUAACUACGUGCCAGCAGCCGCGGUAAUACGUAGGAUCCAAGCGUUGUCCGGAUUUACUGGGUGUAAAGGGUGCGCAGGCGGACCAAUAAGUCAGGAGUGAAAUCUCGGCGCUCAACGCCGAAACGUCUUUUGAUACUGUUG
rnacentral:rRNA from 1 species